UACGUAGGGGGCGAGCGUUGUCCGGAAUUAUUGGGCGUAAAGCGCGUGCAGGCGGUUUUUUAAGUUCGUGGUGAAAGACCGGGGCUCAACCCCGGAGCGUCCGCGAAGACUGGAAGACUGGAGUGUCGGAGAGGAGUGCGGAAUACCAGGUGUAGCGGUGGAAUGCGUAGAGAUCUGGUGGAACACCGAUGGCGAAGGCAGCACUCUGGCCGAAUACUGACGCUGAGACGCGAAAGCGUGGGGAGCGAACGGG
rnacentral:rRNA from 1 species